UGGUCCUUUCAAGAUGUGAUUUGACAUGGU
rnacentral:piRNA from 1 species